CGUAGGUAUGGUGCAGGGGCGGCGGGAAUGCGGAGGGGGGGAGCGGUGGCGGGUAGUAGUGGGGGUAAGUGGCUGGGAGGCGGGUGGUCGCGUCUGCGGGGAAAAGCCGGGGCUCAAGCCCGGACGUGCAGGGGGGACGGGCAGACUAGAGUGUGGGAGGGGAGACUGGAAUGCCUGGUGUAGAGGUGAAAUGCGCAGAUAUCAGGAGGAACAACGAUGGCGAAGGCAGGUCGCUGGGCCACUACUGACGCUGAGAAGCGAAAGCAUGGGGAGCGAACAGGAUUAGAUACCCGGGUAGUC
rnacentral:rRNA from 1 species